GAUGGGAGCUUGCUCCCUGAUAUUAGCGGCGGACGGGUGAGUAACACGUGGGUAACCUGCCUGUAAGAUUGGGAUAACUCCGGGAAACCGGAGCUAAUACCGGAUAACAUUUUGAACCGCAUGGUUCGAAAUUGAAAGAUGGUUUCGGCUAUCACUUACAGAUGGACCCGCGGCGCAUUAGCUAGUUGGUGAGGUAACGGCUCACCAAGGCAACGAUGCGUAGCCGACCUGAGAGGGUGAUCGGCCACACUGGGA
rnacentral:rRNA from 1 species